rnacentral:rRNA from 1 species
GAUGAACGCUGGCGGCGUGCCUAAUACAUGCAAGUCGAGCGAACAGACGAGGAGCUUGCUCCUCUGACGUUAGCGGCGGACGGGUGAGUGACACGUGGAUAACCUACCUAUAAGACUGGGAUAACUUCGGGAAACCGGAGCUAAUACCGGAUAAUAUAUUGAACCGCAUGGUUCAAUAGUGAAAGACGGUUUUGCUGUCACUUAUAGAUGGAUCCGCGCCGCAUUAGCUAGUUGGUAAGGUAACGGCUUACCAAGGCAACGAUGCGUAGCCGACCUGAGAGGUUGAUCGGCCACACUGGACCUGAGACACGGUCCAGACUCCUACGGGAGGCAGCAGUAGGGAAUCUUCCGCAAUGGGCGAAAGCCUGACGGAGCAACGCCGCGUGAUUGAUGAAGGUCUUCGGAUCGUAAAACUCUGUUAUUAGGGAAGAACAAAUGUGUAAGUAACUAUGCACGUCUUGACGGUACCUAAUCAGAAAGCCACGGCUAACUACGUG